CCCUUAGAUGUCCGGGGCUGCACGCGCGCUACACUGAAUGAAUCAGCGUGCUAGAAAACCUUGUUUGACAUGGCUAGGUAACCCAUUGAAAAUCAUUCGUGAUUGGGAUCGGGACUUGCAAAUGUGUCCCUUGAACGAGGAAUUCCCAGUAAGUGCGGGUCAUCAGCUCGCGUUGAUUACGUCCCUGCCCUUUGUACACACCGCCCGUCGCUCCUACCGAUUGAAACAUACGGUGAAAAUCUCGGAGAGAGAAAGUUCUUGGUGCAAAGUUCGCUUGGCAUCACCUUUUUUUCAAAGUUAUUUAAAUCUCAUGUUUUAGAGGAAGGAGAAGUCGUAACA
rnacentral:rRNA from 1 species